rnacentral:rRNA from 1 species
GACGUAGGGCGCGAGCGUUGUCCGGAUUUAUUGGGCGUAAAGAGCUCGUAGGCGGCUUGUCGCGUCGACUGUGAAAACCCGUGGCUCAACCAUGUGGUCUGCAGUCGAUACGGGCAGGCUAGAAUUCGGUAGGGGAGACUGGAAUUCCUGGUGUAGCGGUGAAAUGCGUAGAGAUCAUGAGGAAGACCAGUGGCGAAGGCGGGUCUCUGGACAGUUCCUGACACUGAGACACGAAGGCCAGGGGAGCAAACGGG